rnacentral:lncRNA from 1 species
UAAUUUAGUAAAUUUAAUUAUAGUUUGAAUUAGGAUUCAAAUCCCCUAAAUUGAUAUAGGGUUUUAGGGUACCUCUGUGCCUCAGAGUUGUACAUUGCUACACACACACGCAAAGACACAUAGUAGAGAAUAGAACUAACUAACUGAAAAAGAAAAAGCAAGUUGCGGUUGAAUUCUUAAGCUGCCUCUAAAAAUAUUCAAAAAUGUCUUCUCCGAAUAUGUUGUUUGAAUCUCCUUCUCCAAAGAAACGACAUCGUUCGACUUCACAGUCGCUGUUGCUGGUCUAUCUGGACCAUCAGCCAGCAACCUUGUUCAUAUCUUAUACUCUCUCCGUCCCUGAAAUAAGUUCCUCUUUUUUCAUUUUGGGACGUCCCCC